rnacentral:rRNA from 1 species
UACGUAGGCAGCGAGCGUUGUUCGGAGUUACUGGGCGUAAAGAGUGCGUAGGCGGUUUUCUAAGUUUGGUGUGAAAUCUCCCGGCUUAACUGGGAGGGUGCGCCGAAGACUGGAAGGCUAGAGUAUGGGAGAGGUAAGCGGAAUUCCUGGUGUAGCGGUGAAAUGCGUAGAUAUCAGGAGGAACACCUGCGGUGUAGACGGCUUACUGGACCAUAACUGACGCUGAGGCACGAAAGCGUGGGGAGCAAACAGG